rnacentral:rRNA from 1 species
UACGAAGAGGGCUAGCGUUGCUCGGAUUGACUGGGCGUAAAGGGCGCGUAGGCGGUUCGUACAGUCAGACGUGAAAUUCCUGGGCUCAACCUGGGGGCUGCGUUUGAUACGUGCGGACUUGAGUGCGGAAGAGGGUCGUGGAAUUCCCAGUGUAGAGGUGAAAUUCGUAGAUAUUGGGAAGAACACCGGUGGCGAAGGCGGCGACCUGGUCCGAUACUGACGCUGAGGCGCGAAAGCGUGGGGAGCGAACAGG